rnacentral:other from 1 species
AUAAAUCUGGAAUGUACGCGUUAUCUCAACAUGUAAGGUUGACCGAACACCUAACAUUUUGGUUUCUGGAAUAGUUUAUUAAUAACAGGCCUACCUUGAUAGGAAGUUAGCGGUAAAUCUACUAGAUACCACCUGCUUUGACAGCGGGUUCAACUACAGAGAUGAUUAACGGCAUUAAACGGAUGCGGG